UAUAAAUAUUAAUUCAUCAAAACACAUGUUUUUUCCAGAAUUCAAAAUCCUUAAACUCAAAAUCUUACUCCCAUUGAUCCUCCGUAAUUAUGCUAAGCAGAGUCGUCAACAGAUGGGCAGAUCUACUGGAGGAGCUUCCAAUGAUUCUAAUUCACUAGCUCCGUUUUCCACGAGGAACGCCAUGGCCAAACCCCAGAGGUCACCUGGUUGACCAUUGAUGGUGUACGCAUCAGAUAUAUUAGGAGCUGCUCCUGUGCUUGUUGCUCGUCUUACAACAUCAAUUGGGUCCAGGGAAUUGCCCAUUCACCGUUAUGAUGUUGUGGAUUUUGCACAGCCUCUUCAC